AGAUAAAGGCAAACCAUCUGAAAAGGUGGGACGCAAAGCUUCAGGUCUAAGGUAGAUUUAUACUAUGAUGGCUGGGCCACC
rnacentral:ncRNA from 1 species